rnacentral:lncRNA from 1 species
AGAGGCCAAAGCGAGCCCCACAACCUCCGCAGCCUCCACCACCAAGUCCCUUCACUCGUCCGCGCCGCCCGGAGAAAAUGUCACCAGAGGCCGUUCCGCUCGGCGCCUCACUUCCGCCCGGAACCACAGAGCCCUGAGCCCGCCCGGCUAGAGCGGCCGCUGCGACGGGGGAAACUCUAGGGACGAGCGCUGGAGGCCGAAAGGAAGCCAGACAGCGCCAUCUGGCGGGACGGACCCCACGCUCCUCCGGCUGCAGCUCGCCCGGCGUGCGGGCAUCGGCCUCCCGGGUUUUCCCACGCUCCCUGUAUCCGCUCAGGCAGUUCCCUUCUAAGAAAUGUUUUGCCCCGGGCNNGGGGGCGGGGGGGGGGGGGGCGGUCGGGAAGCCAGUCAAUACAAGCCACGGGCAAUGCCCUAAGAGAAAGUCGGCGCUCCCUUUUCUGUACGCUGCUCAGGACUCACCCCUCCUGAAGCGUUUACAGAAGGAAGCUCUUGGCGUUUGAAUCCUUGAGUCACGCCGGCAAGGAAGUCCGCUCCGUUCUCUCCCCCACCUUUUCGCGGAUGCCCACGGCUCUGCUCGCGGAGACUUGGCUGUGCCUCUCUCAUGCAGUGGCAUCAACAUUCCGUUCAAGUUUUCUGGAUGAACCUUGCACGCCUUGCAGACAGACCGCCACCUGCUGCAGAGAGUUCCAAGGGGGUUUGACCGAGUUGUCCUGCUCCGCGGUGAACACGCUCCAUACGUGGAUGGACGUGGAUGGAGGAAGUCUAAGCACCGAAGCUGGGGAGACACACAAAACUGAAAAGAUGUUAAAACAAGUAAGUGGCGCCAGAUGCAUAGUGGGUGAGAAGCUGGGAGGAGGGCGGCGGGCUUGCAGACAGCUGUUGAGAAGGAGGAGGGCUCAGUGCCUGGAGGGCAGCGCUCGGGCCGACCUUCCUCGCAGCCGCCUCGGUGUCCUGCUCAGGGCCUGGCAGACAACAUGGAAAUAAAUGUCUGUGACUGAAGGACAGCUGUGCAGAGAAGCUGACCUUUGGGGGCAAGGGGACAAGAGGUGGAAAAGUCCCCGGGAUGUCUGAGGGAUGACAGCCUGAGGGCCUGGCUGCCCAUGGCUGGACAGGGAUAGUGAGAGGCCUGAAGGAGUAAGUCAGAGGCUUAAUGUGAGUGGAAGGAGCCGGGGCUUCACUUCUUAAACACUAGUGGGGAAGCAUGUCCGAAGUUCUCACCAGACUUAUGGGAAGUGUUCGGGUCAAGGCCAGCAGAAAACGGACCCUCCUGGCCCACUUGGAGAGGAAGGAGAACAUGGACCCCAGACUGUCCAUGGCAGUGAGGGCAGGAAAGCUGAGGGAGGGAGGGAGAAAGUCGAAUUGCCAGCCGCUGGAGAGAAAGAAAGGAAAGCUUUAGAAAAGAAAAGACGUGUCGCAGGGAGGAAGCCAAUUCUGACUCCAUAUUGGAAACUGUUUGAAUUGCUUUUAUUAUUAUAAUCAUACUCAAUGGCUUGCCUGGAGGACCCUGCNNNNNNNNNNNNNNNNNNNNNNNNNNNNNNNNNNNNNNNNNNNNNNNNNNNNNNNNNNNNNNNNNNNNNNNNNNNNNNNNNNNNNNNNNNNNNNNNNNNGAGUCAGACAGGACUGAGCGACUGAACUGAACUGAACUGAACUGAACUGAGGAAACUCAGAAUACAGGAUUACAGGCCCCAGAUGGCUGAGGUUCAUACCAAGGAAAUUAAAUUUUAGUGAACUCUGACUCUUGCAUCUUCCCAUAUGUAGAAAAUUGCUAAAUUUCUCAACUUGAGAUUUUGUCUCAUGGAUUUGAAGUUCAGUGUUCCUAAGUCUACAGGUGUAAAAUAGACCCUUUCCAAAAGAGGAUCAAAAAGAAGACAAAUCUCAAUGCUUGAAACACUGGCAAAGAUGGUGGACACUCCCAGUAAAAUCCAUCUGACUAAGCAGAAAUGUCAUCACUCCCUUCUCCCACAAAGUUGUGGAAUGGACUUUGACACUGCGGAAUUGUUGCAGGCUGGAAGCCAAUUCUGACUCCACAUUGGAAACUGUUUCUUGUUUUUAUUGUUGUAAUCAUACUCAAUGGCUUGCCUGGAGGACCCUGCCCUCUGCUUGACUGUAAACUAAAGUGCCUUUGUUCAGUUCAUAGAGACAUAGUUUGUGUCUGCUCACCUGUGGAUAGAAGAGAUGAACACACCCCUUCUGAAGGCUGGGCGUUCCCCUGGGGACAUUUUACAAGACUGAAGACCCUUUCACUUUACUUCCCCACUGCAGUUCCCUCUCUAUACAGCCUUUUGAAUUUAGUUCCUCAUUGCUUCUUUCUCUCUGAUCUAUUAAAGAACCUGGCAUUCAGAUCCUACAAAGAAGGUUAUUUUGAGGUGCCUGCCUGCCAUCUUCUCUGUCUGCCAGCUCCCCAAUUAAAGUCUCUUCCUUGCCUCUACAUCUUGUCUAUCAGAUUCAUUGGCUUAUCAUGUGGCAAGCAGAG